UACGUAGGAGACGAGCGUUGUCCGGAGUUACUGGGCGUAAAGGGUGCGCAGGUGGCGGCGCGCGUGGGGGGUGAAAUCGCCCGGCUUAACUGGGCGGGGGCCUUCCAGACGGCGUGGCUUGAGCAGCGGAGGGGGACGUGGAAUUCCGGGUGGAGCGGUGAAAUGCGUAGAUACCUGGAGGAACACCGGUGGCGAAGGCGGCAUCCUGGACCGAUAUUGACGCUGAUGCGCGAAAGCCAGGGGAGCAAACGGG
rnacentral:rRNA from 1 species